ACCUGCAGGUGCCCCCAUAUCUCUCCCCAACAAAACAACUGGGAUCCCUUAUUGUUGUGGUGGUUUUAGUUGCUAAGUCAUGUCCAACUCUUUGCAAUCCCAUGGACUGUAGCCUGCCAGGCUCCUCUGUCCAUAGCAUUCUCCAGGCAAGAAUACUGGAGUGGGUUGCCAUUUCCUCCUCCGGGGAUCUGCCCAACCCAGGGACUGAACCCAGGUCUUCUGCAUUGGCAGGCAGAUUCUUUACCACUGAGCCACCUGGGAAGCCCAGCUGUGAUGUCUGGCUCUGUUUUUCACCCUCUCCUCUUGGUUAUGCUGUUUCCCCAGACCCUUUAUAAAGACAGUUACCCCACAGAAGUUGUAUGCGUUAAGCCAGGAAUUCUCAGCCUAUGAUAAGAAAGAAGGGGUGUCGUGGUAAGAACAAUAGGGAGAAUAUUAGAGCAGGUCCUGUUCAUCCUAAUGAAGAUGCAUCGUUGGCACUUGCCUCCCGCAUGGCUGGGAAAGAGCAGUGCAACCAAAAGGCCCCAUCCAGAUGGAGGAGCUCAGUAGAACAUCUGCCUUGCAUGUCUGUCACCUCCCUACCUCCUGCUGCUGUGUUAGCUGCCAGCCAUUAUAGCAGCUCCUGAGUCAAGGGCCCUCCUCUUGUAGUGUUUUCUUGGAGCUUUGACAGAUUAUCUACACUGUCAUUCCCAACAGCAUCGUGCCAUCUUUCUUAAAACUGCAGGAAGAUCCUGAUGGAAAUCUCAGUCCUUUUAAAAAAAAAAAAAAAAACCCUCCAAAAUAAAUUCCAUUAAACUAUAGUUAUGCCUGCAAAUUUUAUAUCAACUGGCAUUAGGCAGUUAGUUCACUGCAUCAACUACAUGGAUGGCCUAUAGCGUCCAUGUGACACUGAAGAAACGAGAGAGCUGUGGAAAAUGCAUUCACCCCUCUCCAUGUCCUCUACCACCAAUCUAAGUCCAAACCAGCCUCAUAUCCUGCCCAGAUUAUUACAGUAGCUGCCUAAUUGAUCUGGUCCAACCAUCUUAGUUAGUCCAAAUCAUCACUUGCCUGAGCAUUACUAAGUAGCCUCCUAACUAGCAUGUUUCCACUCUAGCUCUCCUUAACCCAGUUGAUUUUCCACAUUUGGGCACAUGAAAUAACAUUUUUGAAACCAAAUUCUGAACAUCUGAAUUUUGAUGAAAACCUUUCUAUGGCUUCCUAAAGCUAUUAGAGAUUAUUUACUACUGAUAAAUCAAGAUUGCUAUUGGCACCCUGAAGGCAAUGCAUGAUCUAUCCUUUGCCUAGCUUUUAUCUAAAAACAUCAUUUUCCUUUUUCCCCAUACUUUAGUCGUACCAGCCAUUUAUCUGUUCUGCCAACAUGCUAUGGUCCUUUCUGCCCUAGGGAUAUUGUAAUACUAUUGUUUCAGACUGGAAAUCCUUCCCCAUCUCAUUACACUUCACCUACUAAACCAUCACUUUUCAUAAUUCCAAUUUAAACACCACUUCCUCAGAGAUUCCCUGUGCUCCAUCACCCACUAAUCCUUUCUAUAGUGUCCUUUCCUCUACUUUUGAAGCUCUUAUAGUUUGUAAUUACAUAUCACCAUGAUUAUUUUAUUAAAUACCUAUCUCCCUCCACUAGGCUGUGUUUACCGAGAAGCCAGAAACUUUGCUUUUCUCACUUCUUGAAUCCAGCAUUUUCUGGUUUCAAGCUAGUGUUCAUUAUACUGCUUUCUGAACAGAUUUGUCAAAGAACAAAUAACCAUUUAAAUCUAAAUGACUCUCAAUAUAAACACUGCCUGUAUAAGUUUUUCAAACCUAUGCCAUUUGAUGUAUUUUUAUAUAGGAGAAAUUGCAACAUCAGUAUUUUCAAACAUGAGGCUGAGCUAAGAACUGAACUAAGAGCAAACACCCAUAAUACUUGUUGUCAGUAACACUUUGCAAAACCAUAGACUUUUAUCUACAUUCUUCUUCUCAUUGAAGUUUUAUUCCCCCCCACCAAAAAAAAAAAAAAAUCAACUGUGGACAUCAGCAUCAAGGUAAAAAUGGAACUGACCUAAUCUUCUGCUUUUGUGAGUUUACCUAAUUUAUUUAGUGAAAAUGAAUGUCAACUCGCUUAAUUCUGUUAAGUCCUGCUUGGGUUUCUUGGUACAAAUUCCAUAUGCUAAGUGCACUAAAAUGGCAAAGCCUUGCUCUAUUAUGACAUCAUCCC
ensembl:lncRNA